rnacentral:lncRNA from 1 species
CAGACUGCCCGCAAAUCCACCAGUGGUAAAACACCCAAAAGCCGCUCUCAGGAGUGCGCCCUCUACUGGAGGGGUGAAGAAACCUCAUCCUUCCCCACCCAGUACUGUGGCACUCCGUGAAGUCAGACACUAUCAGAAGUCCACUGAACUUCUGAUUCGCGAGCUCCCCUUUUCAGAGUCUAGAGCGAGAAAUUGCUCAGGACUUCAAAACAGACCUGCGCUUCCAGAGUGCAGCUAUUGGUGCUUUGCAGGAGGCAAGUGAGGGUCAUCUGAUUGGCCUUUUUAAAGAUACCAACCUGGGUGCUAUCCUUCCAAACGUGUAACAAUUAUGCCAAAAGAUAUCCAGCUAGCACGCCUCAUAUACCAAGAAUGUGCUUAA